UGGGCAUUUUCUCUGCAGACCUGAAGCUGCAAGUGCUCAGUCCAAGUUGGGCAAGUUGGUGUUUGUAACUUCUUUCUAUGAAAGUCUGAUAUGGGUUCUCUCCUAAACUUCUCUUAGAACGGUGGGAAACAUUGCUCCCGUGAGAACGGUAUAGUGGACUUCAUCGCCACUGACCCACAGUUAUUAGGGUGUGACACGAACUUGUGGACAGAGUACCGAGCUGCUGCUUUGCCAGGUGGAUUUCUGGCUGCGGGCAAAGGACCCGACACAUCACUGUGUUUUAAUUUGUUUUAAACUGGUGUAAUUCGACGGACUGACUCCUGCGGCUGUCGAUUAUUGUUUUGUGUUUUUUUUUUUUUUUUUUUUUUAAUUUUUUCUGUAUCAGUAGGCACCACAGAUAUUGAUUCUUUU